CUGCUGACAGUCUGGUCGGGGUUUCGGGUGUGUUAUGCUAGUAGAAGCUAACGUAGCCUCGAGCCGCUGAACUCAAGCAGAGACGAGGAGCGGGCUACAGAGGUCUGGGAAACACAGGAGGACAAGCAUCAGCAAACUACAAGGAGGUCACCGUGGGGACGGAGUUAUUUGUAGAGUUGGAUCUUUACCAGAGACACAGCAAAGCGCCUCACUGCGCUCAUAAUUUAUGCCCCGGAUGCCCAGCCAGUCACCAAGCCCCUGCUUGUACCCUGAACAUCAAAGAAACUCAGAGAUGAAUGUGCUGACAAGGCAUCUAUUUCCCCUGCCCCACUGCUGAAACGUGUCAUGAAUCCCCCGGAAGAGUCGAGUGGCCAGAUGAGAAACUGUUUUACAGGAAUCUUACCCCUUUUACGCCUUUCAAAUCGCCCUUCAGCAGCGAGUCUAGGGUGAAGAUCACAUUGUGGCUGAGACUCUGGAGCUGAAAGAGAACACAGAAGAGGAGGAGGAACACAGGGAGUUAUAAUGUGGCUCUCGUAACAAGCAAACUUAGGUAACAUACAAUAUCCUGACAGUGUGAGAGGCAAGUAUUUGAGGGAUAAGUUUGUUAUUGUCAAAAAAAAACCAUGACGGUACAAAGACCUGUGUUGCUGAAGCUUGAUGUACCUCAUUCAUCUAUGCCAUAGAGCUUGAUUGUUGUCGAAAAAAUACACCAAUGAGUCAAACCAUUGUACUGGUUGACAUGUUCCUUCAU